AAGUCGUAACAAGGUUUCCGUAGGUGAACCUGCGGAAGGAUCAUUAUUGAAUAAGCUUGGUUGGGUUGUUGCUGGCUCUCCGGAGCAUGUGCACGCCUGGCAAACCAACCUUUUACCACCUGUGCACCUUUUGUAGACCUGGAUAUCUCUCGAGGAAACUCGGUUUUGAGGAUUGCCGUGCGUAAAGCCGGCUUUCCUUGCACUUCCGGUCUAUGUUUUUAUAUACCCCUACACAUGUUUUAGAAUGUCAUUAACGGGCUUAACUGCCUUUAAAUCUAUACAACUUUCAACAACGGAUCUCUUGGCUCUC
rnacentral:misc_RNA from 1 species